UGAAAGUGUAAAUUAAUGAGGUUUAUAAGCUGUGUUGCUCGAACUCUUCAAAAAUGUCAACGGGUGCGUGUCAGAUUCGCCAAAGCUAGUGUAUUUUUGGAAAAUCCGACACGGGUGUGGCAUCGAAAGUGAAGAGUCUGCACAACUUAGUUUAUAAGUACCUCGAAAAAUGAAGGGGAAAAAAGUAAAGCACCAUAUGACGUCACAUAUGUUUGGGUAGUGAGUGAAGGGGAAAAAAGUAAAGCACCAUAUGACGUCACAUAUGUUUGGGUAGUGUGUGA
rnacentral:lncRNA from 1 species